GACGAACGCUGGCGGCGUGCUUAACACAUGCAAGUCGAACGGAAAGGCCCUGCUUUUGUGGGGUGCUCGAGUGGCGAACGGGUGAGUAACACGUGAGUAACCUGCCCUUGACUUUGGGAUAACUUCAGGAAACUGGGGCUAAUACCGGAUAGGAGCUCCUGCUGCAUGGUGGGGGUUGGAAAGUUUCGGCGGUUGGGGAUGGACUCGCGGCUUAUCAGCUUGUUGGUGGGGUAGUGGCUUACCAAGGCCUUGACGGGUAGCCGGCCUGGGAGGGUGACCGGCCACAUUGGGACUGGGAUGCGGCCCAGACUCCUACGGGAGGCAGCGGUGGGGAAUAUUGCACAAUGGGCGGAGGCCUGAUGCAGCAACGCCGCGUGCGGGAUGACGGCCUUCGGGUUGUAAACCGCUUUCGCCUGUGACGAGGCGUGAGUGACGGUAAUGGGUAAAGAAGCACCGGCUAACUACGU
rnacentral:rRNA from 1 species